rnacentral:rRNA from 1 species
AACGAACGCUGGCGGCAGGCUUAACACAUGCAAGUCGAACGCCCCGCAAGGGGAGUGGCAGACGGGUGAGUAACGCGUGGGAACGUACCUUUCGCUUCGGAAUAUUCCCGGGAAACUGGGAGCAACGCCGAAUACGCCGUAUUGGGAAAGAUUUAUCGGCGAAAGAUCGGCCCGCGUUAGAUUAGGUAGUUGGCGGUGUAAUGGACCACCAAGCCUACGAUCUAUAGCUGGUCUGAGAGGAUGAUCAGCCACACUGGGACUGAGACACGGCCCAGACUCCUACGGGAGGCAGCAGUGGGAAAUCUUGGACAAUGGGCGCAAGCCUGAUCCAGCCAUGCCGCGUGAGUGAAGAAGGCCUUAGGGUUGUAAAACUCUUUCGCCGGAGAAGAUAAUGACGGUAUCCGGAGAAGAAGCCCCGGCUAACUUCGUGCCAGCAGCCGCUGUAAAAC